UUGCUUCAGCAGCACAUAUAUUAAAAUUGGAAUGAUAUAGAGGAGAUUAGCAUGGCUGCUGCGCAAGGAUGACAUGCAAAUUUGUGAAGCGUUCCAUAUUUUU